GCUAAACAGCUAGCCUGAACGCAAUGCAUAACCCCAAGAUAUAAAUAAACAAAAAAACAAAACGCACUAAAACAUUUUGCCACCAAAGUAUAGGUGAUAGAAAAGGAUCUCAGAGCGAUAGAAAAAGUACCGCAAGGGAAAGCUGAAAAAGAAAUGAAAUAACCCAACAAAGCAACGAAAAGCAGAGACUAAACCUCGUACCUUUUGCAUCAUGAUCUAGCAAGAAACCCCAAGCAAAGAGAACUUAAGUUUGACCCCCCGAAACCAGGGGAGCUACUCCGGAGCAGCCCAAAGGGGCAUACCCGUCUCUGUGGCAAAAGAGUGGAGAGACUCCCGAGUAGAGGUGACAAGCCUACCGAACCUGGUGAUAGCUGGUUGCUCAAGAAAUGAAUAUAAGUUCAGCGCUAUAAUAUCCUAACUUUACCCGUCAAAAAAGCAAGUAACAUAUAGCAGUUAGUCAAAAGAGGUACAGCUCUUUUGAAAAAGAAUACAACCUUAUUAAGGCGGUAAAGGAUCAAGACCCCAAGGCACCUCCCCCAGUGGGCCUAAAAGCAGCCACCUGUAGAGAUAGCGUUAAAGCCCAAGAAGAGUUUAGCCAACAAUACAAACAAACCAAACCCAAGCCCCUACCCCAUAUUGAGCCCCCCUAUUAAGCAUAGAGAAGACAAUGCUGGAAUUAGUAAUAAGAGGGACACACCCCUCUCCUAGCACAAUCGUGAGUCAGAUAGGAUUAACCACUGACAACUAACGGACCCAGAAGAGGGAACAACAAAAAACAAAAAAAACAAGAAAGCCAUGUCAACACCCCCGUCAACCCGACACAGGAGUGCACCCAGGAAAGACCAAAAGGGAGAGAAGGAACUCGGCAAAAUCGGACCCCGCCUGUUUACCAAAAACAUCGCCUCUUGCUAACAAUGAAGUAUUAGAGGUCCCGCCUGCCCUGUGACAGCAAUGUUUAACGGCCGCGGUAUCUUAACCGCGCGAAGGUAGCGUAAUCACUUGUCUUUUAAAUGGAGACCUGUAUGAAUGGCAUAACGAGGGUUUAACUGUCUCCUCCCCCUAGUCAAUGAAAUUGAUCUCCCCGUGCAGAAGCGGGCAUAAUGACAUAAGACGAGAAGACCCUAUGGAGCUUUAGGCAAAUGAUCAAGCACAACAAGCCCAUUUCUAAACAAAAUCUGGGAAAACAAAAACCCAUGAUCACCAGGCCUUCGGUUGGGGCGACCAUGGAGGAAAAAAGAUCCUCCAAGUGGAACGGGAAAACCCUUAAACUAAGAGUGACAACUCAAAGUACCAGAAAUUCUGACCAAAUAUGACCCAGGACAGACCUGAUCAACGAACCGAGUUACCCUAGGGAUAACAGCGCGAUCCUCUCCCAGAGUCCAUAUCGACGAGGGGGUUUACGACCUCGAUGUUGGAUCAGGACAUCCUAAUGGUGCAGCCGCUAUUAAGGGUUCGUUUGUUCAACGAUUAAUAGUCCUACGUGAUCUGAGUUCAGACCGGAGCAAUCCAGGUCGGUUUCUAUCUAUGAACUGACCUAUCCCUAGUACGAAAGGACCGGGAUAGGGGGGCCUACGAACAAACAAGCCCCACCCCCACCCACUGAAACCAUAUGAAGUGACUAAUGGGGAAGACACAACUGCCAGAGAUAACGGCAC
rnacentral:rRNA from 1 species